rnacentral:tRNA from 1 species
GCCCAGGUGGCGAAAUGGCAGACGCACCAGUUUGAGGGGCUGGCGCCGCGAGGCAUGCGAGUUCGAGUCUCGCCCUGGGCACCA